CUUUAAGUUCUGUUUUAAUUUGAUAUGAGGUCAGGAAACCUGUAGCGUUGGGUUGUCAAAUAAGCAUGUGGUGCUGGAUGCCCGUAAGGUACAGUUUUAUAGUAUUGAAGUAUAAUUUAAGGUUGAUGUGAAACCUAAUAUUCAUUCUAAAGCAAACAUGUCAUGGAUGUGAAAUUCAGUGAUAAACUUCUUGAAUAUGUGAAAGGCCCUAUCAUAUGUGUCCUUGGUGUUUACUGAAAGUGCGAGGUGAGAAAUGUGACGUGCGUGAUUUAACAAAGCCUUUAAUCCAUUAUCAUGUCUUGAGAAAGUGGAGUCGCCAGUCUGGAAGCGGUGGGUAGUGUCGAGAAGAAAGCCUGAAAACAAAACCGAGACAAGUGAUCAGCAUAGGUGUUUGUGUACCCUGGAAUGUGGAUACAUCUGAUAAAGAAUUGACAGAUGGCCGCCACCCAAGUGAGUCGUCUUAGGAGUCUCAUGAUUACCAGGGAUGCCUUUAUUGACCAUGUGGCCAUAUUAUCUGAGUAACACUUAAC